GAAAAGCCUCUAAGCAUCAGGUAACAUCAAAUCGUACCCCAAACCGACACAGGUGGUCAGGUAGAGAAUACCAAGGCGCUUGAGAGAACUCGGGUGAAGGAACUAGGCAAAAUGGUGCCGUAACUUCGGGAGAAGGCACGCUGGUGUGUAGGUGAAGUCCCUGCGGAUGGAGCUGAGACCAGUCGAAGAUACCAGCUGGCUGCAACUGUUUAUUAAAAACACAGCACUGUGCAAACACGAAAGUGGACGUAUACGGUGUGACGCCUGCCCGGUGCCGGAAGGUUAAUUGAUGGGGUUAUCCGUAAGGAGAAGCUCUUGAUCGAAGCCCCGGUAAACGGCGGCCGUAACUAUAACGGUCCUAAGGUAGCGAAAUUCCUUGUCGGGUAAGUUCCGACCUGCACGAAUGGCGUAAUGAUGGCCAGGCUGUCUCCACCCGAGACUCAGUGAAAUUGAACUCGCUGUGAAGAUGCAGUGUACCCGCGGCAAGACGGAAAGACCCCGUGAACCUUUACUAUAGCUUGACACUGAACAUUGAGCCUUGAUGUGUAGGAUAGGUGGGAGGCUUUGAAGCGUGGACGCCAGUCUGCGUGGAGCCAACCUUGAAAUACCACCCUUUAAUGUUUGAUGUUCUAACGUUGGCCCCUGACCGGGGUUGCGGACAGUGUCUGGUGGGUAGUUUGACUGGGGCGGUCUCCUCCCAAAGCGUAACGGAGGAGCACGAAGGUUAGCUAAUCCUGGUCGGACAUCAGGAGGUUAGUGCAAUGGCAUAAGCUAGCUUGACUGCGAGCGUGACGGCGCGAGCAGGUGCGAAAGCAGGUCAUAGUGAUCCGGUGGUUCUGAAUGGAAGGGCCAUCGCUCAACGGAUAAAAGGUACUCCGGGGAUAACAGGCUGAUACCGCCCAAGAGUUCAUAUCGACGGCGGUGUUUGGCACCUCGAUGUCGGCUCAUCACAUCCUGGGGCUGAAGUAGGUCCCAAGGGUAUGGCUGUUCGCCAUUUAAAGUGGUACGCGAGCUGGGUUUAGAACGUCGUGAGACAGUUCGGUCCCUAUCUGCCGUGGGCGCUGGAGAAUUGAGGGGGGCUGCUCCUAGUACGAGAGGACCGGAGUGGACGCAUCACUGGUGUUCGGGUUGUCAUGCCAAUGGCACUGCCCGGUAGCUAAAUGCGGAAGAGAUAAGUGCUGAAAGCAUCUAAGCACGAAACUUGCCCCGAGAUGAGUUCUCCCUGAGACUUUAAGUCUCCUGAAGGAACGUUGAAGACGACGACGUUGAUAGGCCGGGUGUGUAAGCGCAGCGAUGCGUUGAGCUAACCGGUACUAAUGAACCGUGAGGCUUAACCUU
rnacentral:rRNA from 1 species